UGCCAUCCGUGACAUGCCUGAUCACAAUCCCACACGCCGACGUGAGGCGUAAAUGCCAACUCGAAGACUGUACGGUGUCAGCGUUGAGGAAGGCGAUCGCCGAGUCGAGCAUUUUGGCGCCUAAUGUGGAUGAUAACGUAAGGUUUCAGAUCCUUGACGGGGAUUUUAAUGAGUAUGUUGAAUUGGACGACGGCGACCAAAUCCCCAACAUGUCGUGCGUUCGAGUGAUCCGCCCAGGUCCAUCAUCGGCAUCAUCCACGUCAAACAAUGACCACGGUGAAUGUAUGCCUACAGCUGCAGAGUCUACUUCAGAACCCCAUGCGGGCACCAGUGGGAGCGGGCAAUUUGAUAU